GUCUGCAUGCCUUAUUGAAAUGAGUGAAUAUUAGUGUCUGCAUGCCGUAUUGACAUAAGUGAAUAUUAGUGUCUCCAUGCCGUAUUAGCAUGAGUGAAUAUUAGUGUCUCCAUGCCGUAUUGGCAUGAGUGAAUAUUAGUGUCUCCAUGCCGUAUUGGCAUGAGUGAAUAUUGGUAUCUGCAUGCCGUAUUGAAAUGAAUAGAUAUUAGUGUCUGCAUGCCGUAUUGACAUAAGUGAAUAUUAGUGUCUGCAUGCCGUAUUAGCAUGAGUGAAUAUUAGUGUCUCCAUGCCGUAUUGGCAUGAGUGAAUAUUAGUGUCUCCAUGCCGUA